rnacentral:sRNA from 1 species
AAAUGAUAUUAAUUUAGAAUGACAUGUGACACUCAUUGAUGUGAUGAUGUGUUACUCAUAUGGAGAGAAUUGACCAAUUUUCAUAUAUAUAUAUAUAUAUAUAUAUAUAUAUAUGAUUUGACGUUACGGAAAACUAUAUAAUGUAUGCGGGGCUUGAAUAUAUUGAAA